GCUUCGUGAUCGAGUGGUAAGAACAUUUGCCUCUCAUCCUGGAGUCCUGGGUUCGAUCCCCGGUAGAGGAGCA